rnacentral:rRNA from 1 species
AGAGUUUGAUCCUGGCUCAGAAUCAACGCUGGCGGCGUGCCUCAGACAUGCAAGUCGAACGCGAAAGUCUCCUUCGGGGGGCAAGUAGAGUGGCGCACGGGUGAGUAACACGUAGGUAAUCUACCUUUGGAUUGGGAAUAACCACCGGAAACGGUGGCUAAUACCGAAUAAUGCAGCGGCACCUAAUGGUGACAGUUGUUAAAGCGGGGGAUCGAAAGACCUCGCGUCUGAAGAGGAGCCUGCGGCAGAUUAGCUAGUUGGUAAGGUAACGGCUUACCAAGGCGAUGAUCUGUAGCCGGCCUGAGAGGGCGGUCGGCCACACUGACACUGACAUACGGGUCAGACUCCUACGGGAGGCAGCAGUCGGGAAUUUUGGGCAAUGGGCGAAAGCCUGACCCAGCAACGCCGCGUGAAGGAUGAAAUCCUUCGGGAUGUAAACUUCGCAAGAACGGGAAGGAUAAGUGAGAGUUAAUAUCUCUUACGAUGACGGUACUGUUUGUAAGCUCCGGCUAACUCCGUGCCAGCAGCCGCGGUAAUAC